rnacentral:rRNA from 1 species
UUGGGAGGGCAAGUCUGGUGCCAGCAGCCGCGGUAAUUCCAGCUCCAAUAGCGUAUAUUAAAGUUGUUGCAGUUAAAAAGCCUCGUAGUUGAAUUUCGGGGUCAGCAGGUUGGUCGUGCCUAUGGUAUGAACUGGCUUCGCUGGUCUCUCCUUUCUGAAGAACUGUAAUGCCAUUAAUUUGGUGUUGCAGGGACACAGGACUGUUACUUUGAAAAAAUUAGAGUGUUUAAAGCAAGCUAACGCUUGAAUACAUUAGCAUGGGAUAAUGAAAUAGGACGUUUGAUCCUAUUUUGUUGGUUUCUAGGAUUGACGUAAUGAUUAAUAGGGAUAGUUGGGGGCAUUAGUAUUCAAUUGUCAGAGGUGAAAUUCUUGGAUUUAUUGAAGACUAACUACUGCGAAAGCAUUUGCCAAGGAUGUUUUCAUUAAUCAAGAACGAAAGUUAGGGGAUCGAAGACGAUCAGAUACCGUCGUAGUCUUAACCAUAAACUAUGCCGACUAGGGAUCGGAUGAUGUUAAUUUUUUAAUGACUCAAUUCGGCGCCUUACGGGAAA